rnacentral:rRNA from 1 species
CGACUGCUAAGACUGGAUAGGAGACAAGAAGGCAUCUUCUUGUUUUUAAAAGACCUAGCAAUAGGUAUGCUUAGGGAGGAGCUUGCGUCACAUUAGUUAGUUGGUGGGGUAAAGGCCUACCAAGACUAUGAUGUGUAGCCGGGCUGAGAGGUUGAACGGCCACAUUGGGACUGAGACACGGCCCAAACUCCUACGGGAGGCAGCAGUAGGGAAUUUUCGGCAAUGGAGGAAACUCUGACCGAGCAACGCCGCGUGAACGAUGAAGUAUUUCGGUACGUAAAGUUCUUUUAUUAGGGAAGAAUAAAUGAUGGAAAAAUCAUUCUGACGGUACCUAAUGAAUAAGCCCCGGCUAACUAUGUGCCAGCAGCCGCGGUAAUACAUAGGGGGCAAGCGUUAUCCGGAAUUAUUGGGCGUAAAGGGUGCGUAGGCGGUUAAAUAAGUUUAUGGUCUAAGUGCAAUGCUCAACAUUGUGAUGCUAUAAAAACUGUUUAGCUAGAGUAAGAUAGAGGCAAGUGGAAUUCCAUGUGUAGUGGUAAAAUGCGUAAAUAUAUGGAGGAACACCAGUAGCGAAGGCGGCUUGCUGGGUCUUUACUGACGCUGAGGCACGAAAGCGUGGGGAGCAAACAGGAUUAGAUACCCUGGUAGUCCACGCCGUAAACGAUGAGUACUAAACGUUGGGUAAAACCAGUGUUGAAGUUAACACAUUAAGUACUCCGCCUGAGUAGUACGUACGCAAGUAUGAAACUUAAAGGAAUUGACGGGACUCCGCACAAGCGGUGGAUCAUGUUGUUUAAUUCGAAGGUACCCGAAAAACCUCACCAGGUCUUGACAUGCUACUGCAAAGCUGUAGAAACACAGUGGAGGUUAUCAGUUGCACAGGUGGUGCAUGGUUGUCGUCAGCUCGUGUCGUGAGAUGUUGGGUUAAGUCCCGCAACGAGCGCAACCCUUAUUGUUAGUUACCAGCACGUAAUGGUGGGGACUUUAGCAAGACUGCCAGUGAUAAAUUGGAGGAAGGUGGGGACGACGUCAAAUCAUCAUGCCCCUUAUGACCUGGGCUACAAACGUGAUACAAUGGCUGUUACAAAGGGUAGCUGAAGCGCAAGUUUUUGGCGAAUCUCAAAAAAACAGUCUCAGUACGGAUUGAAGUCUGCAACUCGACUUCAUGAAGUUGGAAUCGCUAGUAAUCGCGAAUCAGCAUGUCGCGGUGAAUACGUUGACGGGGUUUGUACACACCGCCCGUCAAA